rnacentral:lncRNA from 1 species
AGUUCAUAAAAGAUCUCCCAUACAAUUUUUACUUUAGGAGUCAUUGUAGUUUUAAAAAUAGUUCAAAAUAUUAUUGUUUAAGAUCUCUCAAGUUUUUACUGAUCUUAUACUUUCGUAAAAUCCUCAAAUUUUUUUAAUAUAUUCUCGAAUAUUCGGAAUUUCAUUGCUUCCGAAAGGUCUUGGAUAGUAAAGAUAAAAUUGAUACUCCGAGAGAAAUUCCGAAUUUUAGACAUAAUUGGACCUCGAGAGACUCGAAUUUUAUAGAUACGAUUGGCCCUUAGGAAACGCGAAUUUUAUACAUAAUAGAACCUCGGGAGUGUGAAGAUUGGUUCCUAAGAUGCUCGGAAAAUUGAUAGAAGCUAAACUUCUCCAUUUUGCUCUUUCAUACAUCUUACUUUAAAGGCCUAUUUAAGGUUGAGUCCAAUAAAUCUGAUCUUUUAUACGGGACAAAUGAAUAGAAGGCAUGAAAUUCGAUGCCUCUUACCUCUGCAAGAGGAUGAACAAUUUAGGUAGUCCAUAGAGGCAUUGGUAAAAUGGCUUUUCCCCCUUUAAAGAAGCGUAAACAUCGCUUCUAUUGUUCGAACUAUGCUAAUUGUGCAACUUAAGAGUUACUCGUCGUUUUAAUAUAAGCAAUUAGGCCUAUUUCUGAAUGUAAACGAGCUGAACUCUUGUAUGCUGUGAGAGUUACAAUAUGUUAAAACUGCUAAACAAAUUGACCACGAAAGUUUCGAGUCCAGUACUUAAACUAGAUUAACGAUGUCCGUCUCAUUGCUGUUGUUACCGUCGGCUAUGUUACGAAUCAGUUGUUACGAGUCUCGCGAGCAACUUAGUUGGCCCAUGUCAUUACAUAAGAGGCGAGUUCGUGAUAACUCCACUCAUAAAUCCACAAUCCGGAAACUGCAUUGCGCAAGGGGAGAAAACAUAAGAAGUAAACUAACUUCCCUCGACGCUACGAAGGUUGUACAAGUUUAGAAUUCGGUAUUAAUUAAACAGGAUCAUACUAGUAGCAAAAGAUAAAUCGGAAAUUGCGUUAGAAGCAUCGUUAAGUGAACUGCAAGCGUGCCAAUUCGGCGUAUAAUGAGAUCUGACCGAUGUCAAGAAGCGUGGCUAUAUGUAUAUUAAUAAGUUAAACGCUGAAUUCGACCUGACUAACUCCAAAAAUUUCGAUUUGUUAACGUUUUUCGUGAAUUUAAACUUAGCGGUAGCCAUCAUUUAUUUUUAAAACUAUAAUUAAUGCUUACGUGUUUGGCUACCGAUGUCACGAAACUGAAUAAUUUAAACCGUGAAUAAUACAAGCGUUGAAUGAAUAACCGAGAGUUAAAUUUAAAAAUAUAAAUAUAUAUAUAUAUAUAUUGUACGAUAAUGUUUAGCGAUUGCUCCCCGAUGUUGAGAAGAGUC